rnacentral:rRNA from 1 species
AGUGAACGCUGGCGGUAGGCCUAACACAUGCAAGUCGAACGGCAGCACAGUAAGAGCUUGCUCUUACGGGUGGCGAGUGGCGGACGGGUGAGGAAUACAUCGGAAUCUACUUUUUCGUGGGGGAUAACGUAGGGAAACUUACGCUAAUACCGCAUACGACCUACGGGUGAAAGCAGGGGAUCUUCGGACCUUGCGCGAUUGAAUGAGCCGAUGUCGGAUUAGCUAGUUGGCGGGGUAAAGGCCCACCAAGGCGGCGAUCCGUAGCUGGUCUGAGAGGAUGGUAGGCCACACUGGAACUGGAACACGGUCCAGACGCCUGCGGGAGGCAGCAGUGGGGAAUAUUGGACAAUGGGGGCAAGCCUGGUCCAGCCAUACCGCGUGGGUGAAGAAGGCCUUCGGGUUGUAAAGCCCUUUUGUUGGGAAAGAAAAGCAGCAGGUUAAUACCCCGCUGUUCUGACGGUACCCAAAGAAUAAGCACCGGCUAACUUCGUG